UCUGAUUAAACCUUAGAUACCGUAAGGUGUUGAGCAC
rfam:Scytonema hofmannii PCC 7110 genomic scaffold Scaffold1, whole genome shotgun sequence.